AGACUGAACCUCAACGGCAUACUCAUUUUCAAUGAAUAAUCAAUACUAUGUCUCCAAGUCGAGCUCUAUAAUGCAAGGCUUACCUUAAGCCAUCAUUUAAUAAACCUCACAUUUAGCGAGUGCUCUUUCCUCGAACGCAUAAAAUCACACACGGUGGCCAAUCGACGGAAUCAAUUCAAGCCUCAUCAAGAAUAAUCUCCCAACGGAUGGUAGCAUAUAAUCAUCACCCAAAGCAGUUUCUUGACGAGUGGCAUCAAAUACAACUCACGCACGUGCCAAAGUAAUGGGCCGAGAAUUAAAUCAUCAUCUGAAGUAAUUUCCUAACGGAUGGCAUCAAGUAUAU
rnacentral:lncRNA from 1 species